rnacentral:rRNA from 1 species
ACGGGGCGCAGCAGGCGCGAAAACUCUACAAUGCAGGCAACUGCGAUAGGGGAACAUCGAGUGGCAUUCAUAUUGGGUGUCUGUCCUCCAGCCUAAAAAGCUGGGGUUAGCAAGGGCCGGGCAAGACCGGUGCCAGCCGCCGCGGUAAUACCGGCGGCUCGAGUGGUGGCCGAUAUUAUUGAGUCUAAAGGGUCCGUAGCCGGCUUUGCAAGUCUUUCGGGAAAUCCAGCGGCUUAACCGUUGGUCGUCCGGGGGGUACUACAUUGCUUGGGACUGGGAGAGGUAGGAGGUACUCAGGGGGUAGGAGUGAAAUCCUGUAAUCCUUUGGGGACCACCGGUGGCGAAGGCGUCCUACCAGAACAGGUCCGACGGUGAGGGACGAAAGCUAGGGGCACGAACCGGAUUAGAUACCCGGGUAGUCCCAGCCGUAAACGAUGCUCGCUAGGUGUCAGGCAUGGCGCGACCGUGUCUGGUGCCGCAGGGAAGCCGUGAAGCGAGCCACCUGGGAAGUACGGCCGCAAGGCUGAAACUUAAAGGAAUUGGCGGGGGAG